AACGAACGCUGGCGGCAUGCCUAACACAUGCAAGUCGAACGAGACCUUCGGGUCUAGUGGCGCACGGGUGCGUAACGCGUGGGAACCUGCCCUUAGGUUCGGAAUAACUCCCCGAAAGGGGUGCUAAUACCGGAUAAUGUCUUCGGACCAAAGAUUUAUCGCCUUUGGAUGGGCCCGCGUUGGAUUAGCUAGUUGGUAGGGUAAAAGCCUACCAAGGCGACGAUCCAUAGCUGGUCUGAGAGGAUGAUCAGCCACACUGGGACUGAGACACGGCCCAGACUGCGACGGGAGGCAGCAGUGGGGAAUAUUGGACAAUGGGCGAAAGCCUGAUCCAGCAAUGCCGCGUGAGUGAUGAAGGCCUUAGGAUUGUAAAGCUCUUUUACCCGGGAUGAGAAUGACAGUACCGGGAAAAUAAGCUCCGGCUAACUCCGUG
rnacentral:rRNA from 1 species